rnacentral:rRNA from 1 species
GACGAACGCUGGCGGCGUGCCUAAUACAUGCAAGUUGAGCGAUGAAGCUUGGUGCUUGCACCAAUUUGAAGAGCAGCGAACGGGUGAGUAACGCGUGGGGCAUCUGCCUUUGAUCGGGGGACAACAUUUGGAAACGAAUGCUAAUACCGCAUAAUAACUUUAAACAUAAUUUUCAAGUUUGAAAGAUGCCAUUGCAUCACUCAAAGAUGAUCCCGCGUUGUAUUAGCUAGCUGGUUAGGUAAAGGCUCACCCAGGCGAUGAUACAUAGCCGACCUGAGAGGGUGAACGGCCACAUUGGGACUGAGACACGGCCCAAACUCCGACGGGAGGCAGCAGUAGGGAAACUUCGGCAAAGGACGAAAGUCUGACCGAGGAAAGCCGCGUGAGGGAAGAAGGUUUUCGGGGCGUAAAACUCUGUUGGUAGAGAAGAAAGUUGGGGAGAGUAGAAAGCUCAUCAAGUGACGGUAACUACCCAGAAAGGGACGGCUAACUACGUG